rnacentral:lncRNA from 1 species
GCCGGCUCAACACUGAUAGGGGCCCUAGGGCAAAAAAAAUUUUUUUACUCUCUAAAAUUUAUAUAGAGAUAAUGUUUAAAAUAUUUUUAAAAUUUAAUCAAUAAUAUUUUGUAUAUUUUGUAAUGAAAAUAAAACUAUAUACAUAUCAAAUAAUUUUGGGCCCUUUUCAAUUUUAUUUAUUGUAUUUAUAAUUUUUUUAUAUAUAAAAAUAUAGAUUUAUAAAAAAUUGGGCCCCUUAUUUAUCAUUACAUGGGGGGACACGGACUCGGACCCGGGGCGGUCGCACUGCUUGUCCCCCCUUGUAAGCCGGCCCUG